GCUGCAGUGGCGAAGCCAUGGUACCCGCACGAUGUUUUCUGCUAUUGACGUGAACGUUUGUCUUUUAUUUACGUCUUUCAAAGAAGAACCGCGCAUUAAAGGGACACCAAACGAUCAACGAUUUGCACUGAAUUCCAUAAUUUGACUGUUUUCCUCGAAUUUAAAUUCUGAUUCUUUUAUUUACGUUUACGGCUAUUUAUAGCCCCUCUCUCUCGAAGCAGUGCACUGGAAUACAACACAUAUUUCUAUAUGUGGGACAACGGUCAUUAGAGCUCUCUAGUGUCGUCAAAUUUCUUGCAUUGGGAUUGAUCUGUAGGCUCUCUAGUGUCGUCAAAUUUCUUGCAUUGGGAUUGAUCUGCUGCAUGGUUGAAUAAGUGGUACUCCCAACUCUGUGAAAUACACGGACUUAAAUUUGGGAGCUGCAUAUGCAAGCCUACAUUUCAACUAUUUACAUUUCCUUUGGAAAGCAAAUAUCCUGAUGCUCGGAGAAGAUGGAUUAGAAUCGUGAAUAGGCAGACAGAAAAGGCUCGUCAUUGGAAACCAAAACAGUGUCAUAGGGUAUGCUCCCUUCAUUUUAAUGAUAACGAGCCAACAUCUGCAUGGCCUGAUCCAACAAGGAAACUUGGUUAUGAGCUAGACAAAUCUAAACAAGUGAAAUCUCCAAGAGCGGCACCAAAAGAGAGACCUUACUCUGAAGUGGUCAAGCAACAAAGACAGAAACGCAAGCGGAAACAUGUAGCUCCCCACACUGACUCGAUGCCAGACCACUAAGGUAUUCCAGAAGCAGUACCAUUUUUAAACCACUCCUGCAAGAUCAUGACUAUAUCCAUACUACAUGGGAUAUGGACACUCCUCCUGCAAAGAGAUCGAGACCAGAAUCUACAUGUACAUCAAGAAAUGACAUUGCUCUUCAUGACCAAGACUAUGCUGAACCGUCAACAUCAUCAUCUGAGAACUGUAGUGAGUGCAGCAAAAAAGAAGACCAGCUAAUGGAAAUGAAUGAGAAGUUGAAGAAACUUGAGCAAAAAAUAAAAAACCUGAAAAGGUUGCCAAAGCGUAGUGUAUCGUAAGAUAGUUCUAAUGUAGUUCUCAAGUCUGAUAAAGCAGUGAAGGACUAUACUGGAAUAGAGAGUACAGAUACAUUUGUAGCACUUCAUACAUGUAUAUGUAGAACCAAGAGUGAAAAAGCUACGUUACUGGACAGGAACAAAAAAGGAAAGUUCACCCAGGUCAUCACCGAGAGCAAAACGUAUUGGAACACCUCAGAAGCCAGGUCCCGCAAGGUCACUUAAUAGUAGACAAGAGCUAAUCUUGGUGUUAAUGAAACUAAGGCUAGCACUAACUGUCUCUUUCUUGGCAGGCUUAUUUCACGUCGCAAGCAGUACAGUAUCUCAGAUCUUUAAUUCAUGGAUAAAGUUCUUAGCAGCUGAUCUAAAGCCAUUAAUUCAUUGGCCUGACAAGCUAUCAAUCCAAAUGAAAAUGCCUAAGUCCCUGCAAAAAAACCACCAGCAUAUAAGAUGUACCUUAAAUUGCACUGAAGUCUUUAUUGGUCGGCCAAGGAAUUUAGCUAAGCAAGCUCUUACUUGGUCUGACUAUAAGAAACAUAAUACUGUAAAAUUUCUCGUAGCAAUUGCUCCCAAUGGUAUGAUAUCAUUCCUUUCACAUGCUUGGGGUGGUAGAGCUUCUGAUGUGCUCAUUACUCGAAAAUCAGGGAUUUUGGAAUUAAUUGAUCCUGGUGAUGUGGUUCUUGUAGAUAGGGGUUUUUUAAUCAAGGAAGAUCUACUACUGAGAGGUGCAAAACUAGAAAUGCCCCCUCCUAGCAAAGGUAAAGAACAACAAACCCCUGGUGAUGUUGCAAAAACGAAGAAAAUUGCAAAUGCUAGGAUACAUGUUGAAAGGGCAAUAGGAAGAAUUAAAUGGUUUGGCAUCUUAAAGGAGACUCUGCCUAUUUCUCUUGUUCCCCUUAUUGAUGAUAUUGUAGUUGUAUGUGCAGCUCUUGUCAAUUUGCGCAGCCCCUUGGUUAAGUAAAAUAUGUGAGGUUGGUGUCCAUAAUACAGUCGACCUUAUUGGUAGAAGUCAAUGGCAUUUCUAAAUCAACUCCUCCUUUUUUGGUUUAAACCUUUCGUGAAAGUCACUUUUUCUUUUAUUUAUGAUUUUCUUUGACCCAAUCAAAUAACUUUUAGGCAAGGUUGACUGUAUUGACUACCGUAAAUUGAUUUAGUUUUCUGGCAUGUAAUCAUAUGUUCUUUUUAUAUGCUUUUAUAUAUUAUUCAAGUACCGGUAUGUCAAUAAUCAUUGUAAUUUUUUUAUUGAGUUUUCGUACGAUUUAUGGUAAAUACAUUUUCUUGUACAUGUAAAAAUAUGUUCGUUUUGAACAAACCUUCAUUUUAGAAGUUAAAAUUUUAUUGUAGGGUCCAUUUCUGUUAACAAGACCAGGCUUAUUUACAAAUCCUCAUAACUGUAGAGACGCAUAUGUGCAAAAUUUGUUAAAUCAAUUAAAUUGCCUGGUGACGAUGUUAAAACAGAAGUGAACUUUACCCACUGUACAUCACCCAUUCUCAAGUUCACACUCGCUAGUUCUCAGUCUCUCUCUCUUUCUCUCGCUCACACUCACACACACGUAAAUUCAUGCAACUGAAAAUAGGACAGACAGAACAUCAUUUAGAAAAGUGAUCAGCUUGAUUUGUUGAAUGUAUACAGGGUAUUUUAAUUCCAGUUUGUUUCCUUUUUAUUUAUGAAUCUCAAAUACAUUUCGAUUUCCAAACAAAAUGAAGUGUUGAUACAAAACAAUAAUAUAUGCCAUUUUACCAGGUAUCUUUCAUGUAUGUAAUUACUGUAGUUACAGUGUAUAUAAAACAUGAAGUGUACUCAUUUGAAAUACAUGUAUAAUGUGUAAGAAUGCAUAUAAAAUUGAUUGCAAAGUGACCAUCUGUACACAACUUUAGAAUCACUGCAAGUAACGGCUUGUACUAUGUCUAUGCAGUAAAUUGUUAAGAGUAAUCUAUCAUAAUUUACAUUGAAUAAAGUAGAAAAAACAAAAUA